rnacentral:rRNA from 1 species
UACGUAGGGCGCAAGCGUUGUCCGGAAUUAUUGGGCGUAAAGAGCUCGUAGGCGGCUUGUCGCGUCGUCCGUGAAAACUUGGGGCUCAACCCCAAGCUUGCGGUCGAUACGGGCAGGCUAGAGUUCGGUAGGGGAGACUGGAAUUCCUGGUGUAGCGGUGAAAUGCGCAGAUAUCAGGAGGAACACCGGUGGCGAAGGCGGGUCUCUGGGCAACAACUGACGCUGAGGAGCGAAAGCGUGGGGAGCGAACAGG